rnacentral:rRNA from 11 species
AUAGGCUAUUAAUGUAUAAUCUAAAGGCACCAGAUCCUGUCUGAUCUUGGAAGCUAACUAGGGUCAACUCUGGCUAAUACUUGGAUGAAAGACCAGCAAUGUAUACAAGAUGCUGUAGGCUAUA